UACGUAGGGGGCAAGCGUUGUCCGGAAUCAUUGGGCGUAAAGCGCGUGUAGGCGGUCCGGUAAGUCGGCUGUGAAAGUCCAGGGCCCAACCCUGGGAUGCCGGUCGAUACUGCCGGACUAGAGUUCGGAAGAGGCGAGUGGAAUUCCCGGUGUAGCGGUGAAAUGCGCAGAUAUCGGGAGGAACACCUAUGGCGAAGGCAGCUCGCUGGGACGUUACUGACGCUGGAGACGCGAAAGCGUGGGGAGCAAACAGG
rnacentral:rRNA from 1 species